rnacentral:rRNA from 1 species
GACGAACGCUGGCGGCGUGCUUAACACAUGCAAGUCGAACGGAAAGGCCCUGCUUUUGUGGGGUGCUCAAGUGGCGAACGGGUGAGUAACACGUGAGUAACCUGCCCUUGACUUUGGGAUAACUUCAGGAAACUGGGGCAAAUACCGGAUAGGAGCUCCUGCUGCAUGGUGGGGGUUGGAAAGUUUCGGCGGUUGGGGAUGGACUCGCGGCUUAUCAGCUUGUUGGUGGGGUAGUGGCUUACCAAGGCUUUGACGGGUAGCCGGCCUGAGAGGGUGACCGGCCACAUUGGGACUGAGAUACGGCCCAGACUCCUACGGGAGGCAGCAGUGGGGAAUAUUGCACAAUGGGCGGAAGCCUGAUGCAGCAACGCCGCGUGCGGGAUGACGGCCUUCGGGUUGUAAACCGCUUUCGCCUGUGACGAAGCGUGAGUGACGGUAAUGGGUAAAGAAGCACCGGCUAACUACGUG